CUACGGGAGGCAGCAGUGGGGAAUAUUGCGCAAUGGGCGAAAGCCUGACGCAGCGACGCCGCGUGAGGGACGAAGGUCUUCGGAUUGUAAACCUCUUUCAGCAGGGACGAAGCGCAAGUGACGGUACCUGCAGAAGAAGCACCGGCUAACUACGUGCCAGCAGCCGCGGUAAUACGUAGGGUGCGAGCGUUGUCCGGAAUUAUUGGGCGUAAAGAGCUUGUAGGCGGUUUGUCGCGUCUGCUGUGAAAAUCCGGGGCUCAACCCCGGACUUGCAGUGGGUACGGGCAAACUAGAGUGUGGUAGGGGAGACUGGAAUUCCUGGUGUAGCGGUGAAAUGCGCAGAUAUCAGGAGGAACACCAAUGGCGAAGGCAGGUCUCUGGGCCACUACUGACGCUGAGAAGCGAAAGCGUGGGGGGCGAACAGGAUUAGAAACCCCUGUAGUCC
rnacentral:rRNA from 1 species